rnacentral:snoRNA from 1 species
AACCCCAUCUUCACUUUGAGACCAGGGCUGUCCUAAGUGGUCAUUCACGUGAGGGACAGUAUUUGUCCUUCAGCACCCGGCCAAGUACUUACUGUAUGUUUAAACUAGGGUUGUUGGAGACACUU